rnacentral:rRNA from 1 species
AUUGAACGCUGGCGGCAGGCCUAACACAUGCAAGUCGAACGGUAACAGGAAGAAGCUUGCUUCUUUGCUGACGAGUGGCGGACGGGUGAGUAAUGUCUGGGAAACUGCCUGAUGGAGGGGGAUAACUACUGGAAACGGUAGCUAAUACCGCAUAACGUCGCAAGACCAAAGAGGGGGACCUUCGGGCCUCUUGCCAUCGGAUGUGCCCAGAUGGGAUUAGCUAGUAGGUGGGGUAACGGCUCACCUAGGCGACGAUCCCUAGCUGGUCUGAGAGGAUGACCAGCCACACAGGAACUGAGACACGGUCCAGACUCCUACGGGAGGCAGCAGUGGGGAAUAUUGCACAAUGGGCGCAAGCCUGAUGCAGCCAUGCCGCGUGUAUGAAGAAGGCCUUCGGGUUGUAAAGUACUUUCAGCGGGGAGGAAGGGAGUAAAGUUAAUACCUUUACUCAUUGACGUUACCCGCAGAAGAAGCACCGGCUAACUCCGU